GGGUCAGUAGGUUGGUCGUGCCACCGGUACGUACUGGUCUCACUGAUACCUCCUUCCUGAAGAACCGUAAUGACAUUAAUUUGGUGUUGCGGGGAAACAGGACUGUUACUUUGAAAAAAUUAGAGUGUUUAAAGCAAGCUAACGCUUGAAUACAUUAGCAUGGAAUAAUGAAAUAGGACGAUCGAUCCUAUUUUGUUGGUUUCUAGGAUUGACGUA
rnacentral:rRNA from 1 species